GCCUAAAAUCAAGCCUUCUCUUAAAUAAUGCACUCCCAUUAUACUUCUGUUUUACUAAAACAUUUUCUUCAUUUUAGUAGAGGUGAUCAAAAAGAUAAAUAGCGCUUUACCAAUAGUACCGCAAGGGAAAGAUGAAAUAGAUCUGAAAAAGCUCAAAAGCACAAAAUAGCAGAGAUUUAUACUCGUACCUUUUGCAUCAUGGUUUAACUAGUCAUGAUCAAGCAAAACGCACUGUUAGUUUGAUACCCCGAAACUGGGCGAGCUACUUCGAAAUAGCUUUAUGAGCUAACCCGUCUCUGUUGCAAAAGAGUGGGGGGAUUUCUAAGUAGAAGUGAAAAGCCUAUCGAGCUCAGAAAUAGCUGGUUAUUUAGGAAAAGAAUUUUAGUUCUCCCUUAAGUUUUAUUAUUAUAAUAAAAACCCCCUAAGACUUAAGAGUUAUUCUAAUAAGGAACAGCUUAUUUGAAAAAGGACACAACCUAGAACAAAGGGUAAGUCAAUCAUUUUUUUCCCUCCUAAGUGGGCCUGAAAGCAGCCACCUUUUAAAAAGCGUUCAAGCUUAACUAUGAUUUUGUUAUAAUCCUUUGACCUCCCACGAACCCUUCAUCUAUACUAAAUAAUCUUAUAUUUUUAUAAGAACUAUAAUGUUAAAACGAGUAACAUGAAUUAGCCUUUCUCCAAAAUGCAAGUAAACGCCAGAUUAGACCUACUACUGGCAUUUAACGUAUAUGAGUAAAAUUUAGUAACCCAUGCAAGAAAACCCUAAAAAAAUCUUACGUUAACCUUACACAAGAGCAUUCCUGGAAUGAUUAAAAGAAAAAGAAGGAACUCGGCAAACCCGAGCCCCGCCUGUUUACCAAAAACAUCGCCUCUUGAUCUUCUAUAAGAGGUCUAGCCUGCCCGGUGACAUAGUUUAACGGCCGCGGUACUCUGACCGUGCGAAGGUAGCAUAAUCACUUGUUCUUUAAAUGGGGACUAGUAUCAACGGCAUCACGAGGGCUUCACUGUCUCCUUUUUCCAAUCAGUGAAACUGAUCUCCCCGUGAAGAAGCGGGGAUCAUUAUAUAAGACGAGAAGACCCCAUGGAGCUUUAAACCCAAUGACAACCCUAACCUGCCCUCCCCCAAAAAGUUUUUCAGCCAUGUCUAUUGGUUUUAGGUUGGGGCGACCGCGGAGUAAAACUUAACCUCCACAACGCAUGGAACUAACACCACAUCUGAGAGCCACCUCUCAAAGAAUCAACAAAUUGACGUAAAAUGAUCCAAUGACUUUGAUCAAUGAACCAAGUUACCCUGGGGAUAACAGCGCAAUCCAUUUUAAGAGCUCCUAUCGACAAGUGGGUUUACGACCUCGAUGUUGGAUCAGGGUGUCCCAGUGGUGCA
rnacentral:rRNA from 1 species